rnacentral:rRNA from 1 species
CUAAACUGAGGGAGGUACGUCGAAACUGACCGGCUAGAGGGACGUAGAGGUAAGCGGAACUCUCGGAGUAGCGGUGAAAUGCGUAGAGACCGAGAGGUACCCCGAUGGUGAAGACAGCUUACUGGGCGUCUCCUGACGCUGAAGCGCUAAGGCCAGGGGAGCGAAGGGGAUUAGAUACCCCCGUAGUCCCGGCUUCAAACGAUGUGGGCUUGGUGUCGGCCCCCUAUAGAGGGUCGUUGCCGGAGUUAACGCGUUAAGCUCACCGCCUGGGGAUUACGUCCGCAAGGAUGAAACUCAAGGGAAUUGACGGGGGCCCACACAACCGGUGGAGCACGUGGUUUAAUUCGAUGAUAAGCGAAGAACCUUACCAGGGCUUGACCUAGCGGUAGUAGAACUCCGAAAGGGGAACGACCUCAAGCUUUGCUUGAGGAGCC